rnacentral:misc_RNA from 1 species
AGCAGCCGCGGUAAUUCCAGCUCCAAUAGCGUAUAUUAAAGUUGUUGCAGUUAAAAAGCUCGUAGUUGAAUUUCGGGGUUAGCAGGUCGGUCGUGCCAUCGGUAUGAACUGGUCUCGCUGAUCCCUCCCUCUUGACGAACUGUGAUGCCAUUAAUUUGGUGUCGCAGGGAAUCAGGACUGUUACUUUGAGAAAAUUAGAGUGUUUAAAGCAGGCUCACGCUUGAAUACAUUAGCAUGGAAUAAUGAAAUAGGACGUUUGAUCCUAUUUUGUUGGCUUCUAGGAUUGACGUAAUGAUUAAUAGGGAUAGUUGGGGGCAUUAGUAUUCAAUUGUCAGAGGUGAAAUUCUUGGAUUUAUUGAAGACUAACUACUGCGAAAGCAUUUGCCAAGGAUGUUUUCAUUAAUCAAGAACGAAAGUUAGGGGAUCGAAGACGAUCAGAUACCGUCGUAG